GACGAACGCUGGCGGCGUGCUUAACACAUGCAAGUCGAACGGAGCGAAUGAAAGCUUGCUUUUAUAAGCUUAGUGGCAAACGGGUGAGUAACACGUAGACAACCUGCCGACAGGAUGGGGACAACAUUCCGAAAGGAAUGCUAAUACCGAAUGAAGUGCAGGGGAGGCAUCUCCCCUGCAUGAAAGAUGGCCUCUGAAUAUGCUAUUACCUGUUGAUGGGUCUGCGUCUGAUUAGCUGGUAGGUGAGGUAACGGCUCACCUAGGCGACGAUCAGUAGCCGGUCUGAGAGGAUGAACGGCCACAUUGGGACUGAGACACGGCCCAGACUCCUACGGGAGGCAGCAGUGGGGAAUCUUCCGCAAUGGGCGCAAGCCUGACGGAGCAACGCCGCGUGAGUGAAGAAGGUCUUCGGAUCGUAAAGCUCUGUUGAUGGGGACGAACGUGCCUAAUGCGAAUAGUAUUAGGU
rnacentral:rRNA from 1 species